rnacentral:rRNA from 1 species
AACGAACGCUGGCGGCAUGCCUAACACAUGCAAGUCGAACGAGACCUUCGGGUCUAGUGGCGCACGGGUGCGUAACGCGUGGGAACCUGCCCUUAGGUUCGGAAUAACUCCCCGAAAGGGGUGCUAAUACCGGAUAAUGUCUUCGGACCAAAGAUUUAUCGCCUUUGGAUGGGCCCGCGUUGGAUUAGCUAGUUGGUAGGGUAAAAGCCUACCAAGGCGACGAUCCAUAGCUGGUCUGAGAGGAUGAUCCGCCACACUGGGACUGAGACACGGCCCAGACUCCUACGCGAGGGAGCAGUGGGGAAUAUUGGACAAUGGGCGAAAGCCUGAUCCAGCAAUGCCGCGUGAGUGAUGAAGGCCUUAGGGUUGUAAAGCUCUUUUACCCGGGAUGAUAAUGACAGUACCGGGAGAAUAAGCUCCGGCUAACUCCGUG